rnacentral:rRNA from 1 species
CGAAAGAGAAAGAAUGGCGAACGGGUGAGUAACACGUGGGUAACCUGCCCAUCAUAAGGGGAUAACACUUGAAAACAGGUGCUAAUACCGUAUAACACUAUUUUCCGCAUGGAAGAAAGUUGAAAGGCGCUUUUGCGUCACUGAUGGAUGGACCCGCGGUGCAUUAGAUAGUUGGUGAGGUAACGGCUCACCAAGGGAACGAUGCAUAGGCGACCUGAGAGGGUGAUCGGCCCCACUGGGACUGAGACACGGCCCAGACUCCUACGGGAGGCAGCAGUAUGGAAUCUUCGGCAAUGGACGAAAGUCUGACCGAGCAACGCCGCGUGAGUGAAGAAGGUUUUCGGAUCGUAAAACUCUGUUGUUAGAGAAGAACAAGGAUGAGAGUAAAAUGUUCAUCCCUUGACGGUAUCUAACCCGAAAGCCACGGCUAACUACUUGCCAGCAGCCGCGGUAAUACGUAGGUGGCAAGCGUUGUCCGGAUUUAUUGGGCGUAAAGCGAGCGCAGGCGGUUUCUUAAGUCUGAUGUGAAAGCCCCCGGCUCAACCGGGGAGGGUCAUUGGAAACUGGGAGACUUGAUUGCAGAAGAGGAGAGUGGAAUUCCAUGUGUAGCGGUGAAAUGCGUACAUAUAUGGAGGAACACCAGUGGCGAAAGCAGCUCUCUGGUCUGUAACUGACGCUGAGGCUCAAAAGCAUGAGGAGCGAACGGGA